rnacentral:rRNA from 1 species
UACAGCAGUAUGACCACCUGGUAGCCUGCUUUCAUCAGAUCUCAGAAGCAAAGCAAGGCUGGGCCUGGUCAGUACCAGGACAGGGGACCUCCAUGGACAACCAGGUUUGCUGCUACAA